ACCAGGUUUGCCCUAAUGCUUCUCUGUAAGUGGACAUUGGUGAUUGGAGUCGCCCCAACCUGGCCUCCGCACAGCGCCUGUUUUACAUCUCCCUCCACACUCUCCAAUCUUCUGGUUCUCGGGGAGCUGAGAUCCCCAUGGGUCGGACAGCUCCAGACCAGAGCGAGUCUGAAUCCGACCCCAGAGGUCUCCAUCGCUGACCGCAUAUCGUGUGUACGUUGUUAUUCGGUUUCCUUUUGUGGCUAAGGACUGGACACCUAAGUACUGCUUCUUUUUAUAGAAGGCUCUGACUAGCACAUUUGCUGAUUAAAAGGGAGGCCUCACAGAACAUUCAUUUUGAAGAGCAUAGUAAUACUUAAGAACCAGGACUAUUUCAGGCAUUUACUGCAAACUGUUUAUUUCCUAAAAUAAGGAGGGCAUGCUUUCUGUUUACUUCCUCCUAAUGAGAAUUCCUCAGGAGUUUGAAAGCUGUUAUUGUGCCCCCUCUCCCUUCCCCCCUAUAUCAGCCCUCCCCGGCCAAGAAGCAGCUGACCACUGUCAUCCUUCAAGUUGGCAUUUACCUUUGAAAGGAAUUCUCCUCCUCUCUCCCGUUAGGACUGGAGCAAGCUACCUUGGUUGACCAAAUGUAUAUCGAAACCUUUCCUGUAGUUCAAAUCCCGUCACAGAUUCCUCUCUCCUCUGUGAGGUAAUCCUUGCCCCCAUCGAUUAUGUAAAAUCUUUCCUCCUGUCCGCUGUUUCUACGCUGGCUCAGGCCUUUAUUGUUGGGCAUAUUGCUUUAACGUUGAGUGACUAUUUGACAGCACCUAUGCCAGGCUAAAGAUCUAACCACAAACAGGAUUCUAGAACCCUGCUAUCUAACAGAACUUCUGGUGGUGCUGGAAAUGUUCUGUAUGUGUGCAACCCACUGUGGUAGCCACUGGACGCGUGUGGCUGUUGUGCACUUGAUGCAUGAUGAGCUCAAGUGAGAAACUCCACGUGUAAUCUUGUUCAUUUAAAUUUACAUUUAAACAGUUACACGUGACUAGGGACAGCAUGGCUCUAGGUCAUAAGCCUCCUGAGAACAGAGGUCUUUCUCUUCCAUUUAUUGCCAUGCUCCCAGCACCAAGAACAAUGCCUGGCAUGUGAUCUUGGAGUCCGGAAGGCAGGGAUUGACUUUUCUGUGCCCAUACCCUGAGACCUACAGUCUAGAACCAUAUCAAGGCCAUAGGAGGUGCUCAAGAAAUGCAAGUUCAAUUGAACCAGGCAGUGGCGGUGCUGUCUGGUUCUCCAGACCUUCCAAGCCAGCAGGAGAAUCUGACUUUUCUGACAUGUCCUCACCUUUGGCUCCCUGCCUGACUUGGUCGUCCAGCUACAUACCAAUUAAACCAAAUAAUACUCGCCUCACUACCCUCAAGCUCCUCCUCUAUCUUCCCCCAUAACCAUGGAUUCCUUACUAAUGCCCUCCCUUGGUGCCUGUCCCUGCUCUGGUGCUUCCUCUGUCAUACCGUACCCUCUGGCCUUCCUCUGCCUCGCCUUCCCUUCUUGGCAGCCAGACUCGCUGGCAGAUUAUUCUGUGGUCACACUAACUGCAACACCACUUAAUAGCAUAUAACGGGAAGAACAGUAACUUCAGAGUUAGCCUCUGAGAUUCAAAUAUUAGCAGGGCACCUGGGUGGCUCAGUGGUUGAGCGUCUGCCUUCUGCUCAAGUCAUGAUCCCGGGGUCCUGGGAUCGAGUCCCGCAUCAGGUUCCCUGCAGGGAGCCUGCUUCUGCCUCUGCCUGUGUCUCUGCCUCUCUCUCUGCGUGUCUCUCAUGAAUAAAUAAAUGAAAUCUUUUUUUAAAAAAUGAAAAAAGAAACAUCAGCUUUACAGCUUACUGCUUUAUGUGAACUUGGGCUAGUUACAAAACACUUAGAUCAUCAGUUUCCUCAUCUAUAAAGUGGCAGAAUAAUGCCGUUCUCAUAAAUGUACUAAGCUUGAGACAUGGUAUGUAAAGCUCGUAGCACAAUGCUUGGUGCUCAGCAACUGUCAGCUCUCUUCCCUCUGUGAAUAUACCUACAUCCACCUAUUCCUAAACACAUCAAUACAGGUGAAUUUAAAGCCAAUUGGGGUAUUCAUGUUUUAAUUGCACGUCACCCUUUUGCAUUCUCCUACAUACCUUUUCCACUAUUGAAAGAUUAAAUGACCAAAAUAACAAUCUAACUCAUUUACUCUUCAUCUAUAAAACUGGUUUAAUUAUUAUAAUAAAGGUAAGCCUGGUCUUGGUGCAGUAUUGUAGAAACCCCAUUUACAAGUAAGUAAAAGGCAAAUUCUCAUCUCUUCUCUCCACUGCAAACCAAGCAAACCACGAAAUCAAGCCAAACAGAGAAAGAGGACUAAAACAGUGGAAAACCACUCAGUAGAAGGCAGGAAAGUAGUGAAUUAGGGUUAAUUUCCAUUCCACUGUGCAUGUCUUGACUGUCUUGGGAGAAGGGGCCACAAUUUACUCACAAAUGAUCACCGUAGAGCAGCCCCUUGAAGGAGACACCUACGGCUCUCCGUGGGCUCCCUUCCUCCGAAACAAGCAUGAACUCCCUGCAGCAAACGUAGCCCUCAAGGAGGAAGCCAAACCAUCCCACACAAUUGCAAUUAGCUUUGAUUACUGUAUUGCAAGAUUAUGUUUGAGGAGCAUCAAAAAUGCUAGUUGUUUUUGUUUUACAGUGAAAGCAGCCAGUGUCAUGGCAUUUAGUGCGACACCUGAGAAUUAAUGACUGCAAUGCCAGAAGAAUUCUAGAUCCUUUCAGAUCAGCGCUGGAUAGGCUCAACUCUGGUCUUAGUUUUGCCAUCACUUAGCUGUGUGACCUAGAGUAGGUUCUUGAGGCUGCAGUUUCCUUAUCUGCCAACUGAGGAGGCGGGAGGAGGGUAGCUGUUCUAUUGUAUGAUCUCACCUAUGACACGUGUGCGAUAUGGUACGUGGCUACUCGGCAUGUGCAGGGACAGUAUAGAUCACUGAGGAUGCUCUGAAGCAUCUUUAUAACUGAUCCAGAGUAGGUUAUUAGACCACUUCAGCCUUUGGACUGAAAUGCAGCUUAGGGAUUCCAGUCCAUUUACAGGCGUAGGAAAUAAAGAGAUGUAGAGUCUUCUUCAUCUUGGGAUGGAGAAGUAUUUUUAUGUUUCCCCUUUUUUCUUGUAGAACUUUAAUGCCAUUGCUAAGUUUACCCAUGCAGUCAAUACAUGCACAAUUCCCUCUGUGGCCUAAGCAAGGUGCUGAGCAGUGUAGAGUUGAAGAAGACCACAGGCCUGUCCACAGGGGCUCAAAGGCCAGAACAAGAGAUCAACACAGUGCCCUGGAGCUCAGGACCGCCCACCUCUGCCCUUGGAGUGGGCAGUGGUCUCCUGGGGGGGCGGGGGUGGGGGCCUUGAUGACUGGGUACGAUUUUCCAGGUGGAUGGAGCAUGGAGGUGUUGGAGGACAUGGCACGUUCGGAGCACUACAUGUUGCUAAGUGGCAGCGUGGUCUUCACAUGCGUGUGUGUGAGAGAGAGAGAAUGAGUCAGGAGGUGUGACAGUCACAAAAGGCCUCAUAUGUCAAAGCAAAGGCUUUAUUCUAGAAUCAGUAUAGAGCUGCUGAACGCUUAAAUUAGAGGAGCAGCCUGAUUGGAUUCUCGGGGCCACAUUAAAAGUAGAACUUUCCUUUUUGGAAUCUGUCCACUUGGACUUUUAGUGCCCGCAGCACUAAAGAGAAGAGAAACCUGACCUCUUAAAGAGAAGCAUGACCUCUCUGGGGAUGGGACCUCGAAUUCUUCUCUGUCACCUUGUGUGUGAUUUUAUUAAAUCUUAGGGAUCAUUGCCCCAAUGUUAAAAGCAUCUCUCCAAUAUAAGAAAAUCAAUGAGGAUAGGAUUCAUUGUGCAUAUU